GCCUACGGGGGGCAGCAGUGAGGAAUAUUGGUCAAUGGGCGCGAGCCUGAACCAGCCAAGUCGCGUGAGGGAGGACGGCCCUACGGGUUGUAAACCUCUUUUGCCGGGGAGCAACGGGCGUCACGUGUGGCGCCACUGAGAGUACCCGGAGAAAAAGCAUCGGCUAACUCCGUGCCAGCAGCCGCGGUAAUACGUAGGGGGCAAGCGUUAUCCGGAUUUACUGGGUGUAAAGGGAGCGUAGACGGAAAGGCAAGUCAGAAGUGACAACCCAAGGCUCAACCAUGGGACUGCUUUUGAAACUGUCA
rnacentral:rRNA from 1 species